rnacentral:lncRNA from 1 species
UCCAAGGUUUGUAUAGGUUCUAUUUUUACCUUAUUUACAAUCUUAUUCGUCAUGGUUUAUUUUGAACUUUUCAUAAGAUAAACUACUUAUUUGGGCAUAGCAUGCCUUAUUAAAAUUCCAUUUAUAUACAAGUUCACAUACCUCACGGGAGAUCACUCAAUCACUCGGCCGAGGGUGUAUAUUUAAGUGAAUCGCUCGAGAGCGGCACGGAUUUACAUUUUCCAUAUGCUUGCCAAGCGAUCAAUCCUCCUCCUUUUUAACUUUUUACCUUUGUAAAUAUCAAGAGGUCUUUUGGGGUGAAGGCUUGGGUUUAAAGGUGGGUGGUUGGUUAGUGGUUAGUAAAAGGGCGAAAAUCGUAACAAAUGUCGGUUUUCGUGAAAUACCUUUUUUUUUUUUUUUUUUUUUUUUUUUUGGUGACAUUUAUUUUUGAAGUAUUUCUCCAAACAAGCUUUUUGUAGCUUAUGUUUGUAUGUUUAUGAAAAACCGAGUUUGUCACUAAAAUAAAGGUGAA